GGAGUUAGCCGGUGCUUCUUCUGUGAGUGAUGUCCUUCCUGCCGGCUAUUAACCCGCAGGCCUUCUUCCUCACUGAAAGUGCUUUACAACCCGAAGGCCUUCUUCACACACGCGGCAUGGCUGGAUCAGGGUUGCCCCCAUUGUCCAAUAUUCCCCACUGCUGCCUCCCGUAGGAGUCUGGGCCGUGUCUCAGUCCCAGUGUGGCUGAUCAUCCUCUCAGACCAGCUACGGAUCGUCUCCUUGGUGAGCCGUUACCUCACCAACCAGCUAAUCCGACAUAGGCUCAUCCGAUAGCGCGAGGCCCGAAGGUCCCCCGCUUUCCCCCGUAGGGCGUAUGCGGUAUUAGCCUGGGUUUCCCCAGGUUAUCCCCCACUACCGGGCAGAUUCCUAUGCAUUACUCACCCGUCCGCCGCUCGCCACCAGGGAGCAAGCUCCCCGUGCUGCCGCUCGACUUGCAUGUGUUAGGCCUGCCGCCAGCGUUCAAUCUGAGCCAUGAUCAAACUCUGA
rnacentral:rRNA from 1 species